rnacentral:misc_RNA from 1 species
UUCUUGUGGAACUGUUUAUCAUGGACUGUGGUUUGGAUCAGAUGUUGCGGUUAAAGUAUUUUCCAAGCAAGAAUAUUCAGAUGAUGUCAUAUAUUCCUUCAGACAGGAGGUGUCACUGAUGAAACGUCUCCGACAUCCAAAUAUUCUUCUUUUCAUGGGUGCUGUAACUUCACCUCAACGCCUCUGUAUUGUGACAGAGUUCUUGCCACGAGGAAGUUUGUUUAGAUUACUACAAAGGAAUGCAUCCAAACUAGAAUGGAGACGACGUAUUCACAUGGCUUUAGAUAUUGCUCGUGGCAUGAACUAUCUUCAUCAUUUCAACCCACCUAUAGUUCAUCGGGAUUUGAAGUCUUCAAAUCUUCUUGUGGACAAGAACUGGACCGUUAAGGUUGGGGACUUUGGUCUUUCACGGCUUAAGCAUGAGACAUA